rnacentral:lncRNA from 1 species
CUCUGAAAUGCCAAGGCCUGGAGGAGGUUGGGGAUGUUUGCUGCUCCAGCCCCUGCCUCAGGCAUUUGGGGCUCGGAGCUGCUCCCUCGCUGGGGCUUGAGGCCAAUGUUUGCCAGGUGCUGGGAGAACAAAAGUUACCUCAGAAAUCCAGUUCUGCAGUAUUGAAGGAAUUGUUUUACAAGGCUGGGGAUAUACCAUGGCUGUCUCAGCACAGCCCUGGCAGGAGCUGGUAUUUCUAGCCAAGAAGUCGAGCUGAAGGCUCAGGGGGAGAGUGCCUGCCAUGGCAACCGGUACCAGUGAGGGGAAUGAGGACACAACAAAGUCCCCCCUGCCUCCAAAGCAUUGAAAUGUGCCCAGAUAAGUGACAAAAAGCAGCUCUUGGAAUUGUGCACCUCUUUUGAUGCCACAGCUACACCCAGCCUGCAGCAGGGGUGGUUCCCAGUACCUUGGCUAUAGUCCCUGCCUUCUUCAGAGUGUGUCAAGGUGGAUUUUUAUGUGUGUGAGCUCCUCAGAUUGUGCCACGCUGUUGAAAACAUUUGGAAAUGGAGCUGUAAUGCACGAGCUGUGCAGCUGUUCUAACAAAGUCUCCUGGACUUUGCCCAUCUUGAAAAGUUUUUAUUCAAGAAAACAGCGGUGCUAAUGGGGAUUAAAAAUCUAAAGGCAGGAGAAUUUGUCUAAGUAAUGGCUAAGCUGGAAGGAAGAGCCAAAAUUUGCAAGGAAACAUUUUGCUUGGCUCCAGCAGCAUGUAAUGGCAUCAUGUGGGGAUGUGGCACCUGGAAUCCUGUCCUAGAGAAAAAUACAGGACAGCAGCUCUCCCAGCCAGGCCUGCAGAAUUCCUGGGAUACUGGAAGGCACAGCAAAGCCCCCAGAGUGUGGGAGAACUGCUGCCCAAUCCCAGAUUUGAGUUCUGAAAGUGGCUUCACCUCCAAAACAUCCCCCUACUCAGGAGCUGAUCCAAGGAUUUUGGUUUGGUACUGGAUGAAAAGGAAAAUACAGCACAGAGUGUUUACUCUGCCUCCAUACAGCAUUGCUUUGUAGGGUGAAAGUGAGGGCGAGACCACAGUGAAGAAUUCCCUCAUUGUCAAUUUUAAAGGCUUCAUAAUAAAUGGUAGGCUUUUUUGGAUGGGAAUCA